rnacentral:snoRNA from 1 species
ACCCCCUGGCAAUGGGCAAAGAGACACCUCACUGGUGGUGUUGUUCUUAUAUCAGUCAGGGGCAGAGCAGAUGACAGUCCUUUGUUCAUCCUAGCUUGAUGCCUGGGUUGGUGGCCUAAGCUGUUUCAUGCCUAGGGUACAUAA